rnacentral:rRNA from 1 species
AAACAUCGCCUCUUGCAAUUCUAGAAUAAGAGGUCCUGCCUGCCCGGUGACUAUGUUUAACGGCCGCGGUACCCUGACCGUGCAAAGGUAGCGCAAUCACUUGUCUUUUAAAUAGAGACCUGUAUGAAUGGCAAGACGAGGGCUAAACUGUCUCCUCCCCCAAGUCAAUGAAACUGAUCUCCCCGUGAAGAAGCGGGGAUAUAAUCAUAAGACGAGAAGACCCUGUGGAGCUUAAGACAUAAAAUAGAUCACGGUCAAACCCCUAAUUAAAGGCCAAGACCUACGACCACUAUUUGACUGUCUUCGGUUGGGGCGACCGCGGAGAAAAAUAAAACCCCCGCGCCAAACGCACGAUAUAAAUAUUAAUCUUAAAAUUUAGGGCGACAGCCCACAUAUACAGAAUUUCUGGAUUAUGAUCCGGUUAGCCGAUUAACGGAACGAGUUACCCCAGGGAUAACAGCGCAAUCCCCUCCUAGAGUCCAUAUCGACAAGGGGGUUUACGACCUCGAUGUUGGAUCAGGACAUCCUAUUGGUGCAGCCGCUAUUAAGGGUUCG